AAAAUAAUCUGAUGCCCCACAGCAAGGAGGUAGCCCAGCCCCGCGUUCGGCUGCUCUCGAGGAGGCCGGAGCCCCCGGAGAGGAUGCGCCCCGCGCAGCCGCCUGCGCCUGCGGGAGCCGGCUGCCCUUGAGAUGGAGUUGCUGCCUCUUUGGCUCUGCCUGGGUUUUCACUUCCUGACCAUGGGCUGGAGGAACAGAAGCGGAACAGCCACAGCAGCCUCCCAAGGAGUCUGCAAGUUGGUGAGUUUCCCUUGAACCCUGAUCUGUCAGCUGCUCCUGUCCUGACAAGACUCCUGUCCAUUCGGAAAGCUGACAGAUUGUCCAUCAGGAAGGGCAGAGAAUGAAGGAGCCUGCAUCACUCUGUGCCUGCCUAGCACAGGGGCAUGUGCAGCUGCCCUUUAACCACAGGAUUUUAAGAUGCUUCCUGGGAAGAGCCAGGCAGUCCCUGCCCUGCCGUUCUCACGCCUGCUGAGGAUAGGAGGCAUCCGAGACCAGCCUAGGGCAUCCUCCUGGAACAAGAACAACUUGUUAAAAAUCUGGAUGAUUCAGGCCAGGUGCGGUGGCUCAGGCCUGUAAUCCCAGCACUU
rnacentral:sRNA from 1 species